UGCCAAGUUGUUAGCACUUGUCUGCCAGAGC
rnacentral:piRNA from 1 species